AAACCAACAGGGAUUGCCUCAGUAGCGGCGAGUGAAGCGGCAAAAGCUCAAAUUUGAAAUCUGGCGCGGUUCCGCGUCCGAGUUGUAAUUUGAAGAAGGCGACUUUGGGUCCGGCUCUUGUCUAUGUUCCUUGGAACAGGACGUCACAGAGGGUGAGAAUCCCGUGCGAUGAGAUGUCCCGGGCCCGUGUAAAGUGCUUUCGACGAGUCGAGUUGUUUGGGAAUGCAGCUCUAAGUGGGUGGUAAAUUCCAUCUAAAGCUAAAUAUUGGCGAGAGACCGAUAGCGAACAAGUACAGUGAUGGAAAGAUGAAAAGAACUUUGAAAAGAGAGUGAAAAAGUACGUGAAAUUGUUGAAAGGGAAGGGCUUGAGAUCAGACUUGAUAUUAGCGCAAGUGCGAUGCCGUCAGGCGCGCGCCGCUGCGAUGGAAUCAGGCCAGCAUCGGUUUGUGCGGCAGGAUAAUGGCGGAGGAAAGUGGCACGGUUCGCUGUGUGUUAUAGCCUCUGUUGAUACUGCCUGCGUAGACCGAGGACCGCGGCUUCUGCCUAGGAUGCUGGCGUAAUGAUCUUAAGUCGC
rnacentral:rRNA from 1 species